rfam:Lactobacillus sanfranciscensis TMW 1.1304, complete genome.
AGGGAUGUAGUAUAACGGUAGUACCUCGGUCUCCAAAACCGCUAGUGCGGGUUCGAUUCCUGUCAUCCCUG